UACGUAGGGGGCAAGCGUUGUCCGGAUUUAUUGGGCGUAAAGCGCUCGCAGGUGGUCCGCUGCGUCGUGCGUGAAAGACCCCGGCUCAACUGGGGAGUGUCGUGCGAUACGGGCGGACUGGAGGCCAGUAGGGGGAUGCGGAAUUCCGGGUGUAGUGGUGAAAUGCGCAGAUAUCAGGAGGAACACCGGUGGCGAAGGCGGGUCUCUGGGCCGUAACUGACGCUGAGGAGCGAAAGCAUGGGGAGCGAACAGG
rnacentral:rRNA from 1 species